rnacentral:rRNA from 1 species
AUGAACGCUAGCUACAGGCUUAACACAUGCAAGUCGAGGGGCAGCAUGGUCUUAGCUUGCUAAGGCCGAUGGCGACCGGCGCACGGGUGAGUAACACGUAUCCAACCUGCCGUCUACUCUUGGACAGCCUUCUGAAAGGAAGAUUAAUACAAGAUGGCAUCAUGAGUCCGCAUGUUCACAUGAUUAAAGGUAUUCCGGUAGACGAUGGGGAUGCGUUCCAUUAGAUAGUAGGCGGGGUAACGGCCCACCUAGUCUUCGAUGGAUAGGGGUUCUGAGAGGAAGGUCCCCCACAUUGGAACUGAGACACGGUCCAAACUCCUACGGGAGGCAGCAGUGAGGAAUAUUGGUCAAUGGGCGAGAGCCUGAACCAGCCAAGUAGCGUGAAGGAUGACUGCCCUAUGGGUUGUAAACUUCUUUUAUAAAGGAAUAAAGUCGGGUAUGCAUACCCGUUUGCAUGUACUUUAUGAAUAAGGAUCGGCUAACUCCGUGCCAGCAGCCGCGGUAAUACGGAGGAUCCGAGCGUUAUCCGGAUUUAUUGGGUUUAAAGGGAGCGUAGAUGGAUGUUUAAGUCAGUUGUGAAAGUUUGCGGCUCAACCGUAAAAUUGCAGUUGAUACUGGAUAUCUUGAGUGCAGUUGAGGCAGGCGGAAUUCGUGGUGUAGCGGUGAAAUGCUUAGAUAUCACGAAGAACUCCGAUUGCGAAGGCAGCCUGCUAAGCUGCAACUGACAUUGAGGCUCGAAAGUGUGGGUAUCAAACAGGAUUAGAUACCCUGGUAGUCCACACGGUAAACGAUGAAUACUCGCUGUUUGCGAUAUACGGCAAGCGGCCAAGCGAAAGCGUUAAGUAUUCCACCUGGGGAGUACGCCGGCAACGGUGAAACUCAAAGGAAUUGACGGGGGCCCGCACAAGCGGAGGAACAUGUGGUUUAAUUCGAUGAUACGCGAGGAACCUUACCCGGGCUUAAAUUGCAGAUGAAUUACGGUGAAAGCCGUAAGCCGCAAGGCAUCUGUGAAGGUGCUGCAUGGUUGUCGUCAGCUCGUGCCGUGAGGUGUCGGCUUAAGUGCCAUAACGAGCGCAACCCUUAUCACUAGUUACUAACAGGUUAAGCUGAGGACUCUGGUGAGACUGCCAGCGUAAGCUGUGAGGAAGGUGGGGAUGACGUCAAAUCAGCACGGCCCUUACGUCCGGGGCUACACACGUGUUACAAUGGGGGGUACAGAGGGCCGCUACCACGCGAGUGGAUGCCAAUCCCAAAAACCUCUCUCAGUUCGGACUGGAGUCUGCAACCCGACUCCACGAAGCUGGAUUCGCUAGUAAUCGCGCAUCAGCCACGGCGCGGUGAAUACGUUCCCGGGCCUUGUACACACCGCCCGUCAAGCCAUGGGAGCCGGGGGUACCUGAAGUGCGUAACCGCGAGGAGCGCCCUAGGGUAAAACUGGUGACUGGGGCU